rnacentral:rRNA from 1 species
CCUACGGGUGGCAGCAGUGGGGAAUCUUGCACAAUGGGGGAAACCCUGAUGCAGCGACGCCGCGUGAGUGAAGAAGUAUUUCGGUAUGUAAAGCUCUAUCAGCAGGGAAGAAGCAAGAUGGUACCUGACUAAGAAGCCCCGGCUAACUAGGGGCCAGCAGCCGCGGCAAUACGUAGGGGGCAAGCGUUAUCCGGAUUUACGGGGUGUAAAGGGAGCGUAGACGGUAUGGUAAGUCUGAAGUGAAGGCCCAGGGCUGAACCGUGGGACUGCUUUGGAAACUGGUAGACUAGAGUGCUGGAGAGGUAAGUGGAAUUCCGAGGGGAGCGGUGAAAUGCGUAGAUAUGAGGAGGAACACCAGUGGCGAAGGCGGCUGACUGGACAGUAACUGACGUUGAGGCUCGAAAGCGUGGGGAGCAAACAGGAUUCGAUACCCCAGUAGUC